GACCACGUAGCUCAGUCGGACAGAGCGAUAGCUUCCGAAGCUAUAGGCCGAAGGUUCGAGUCCUUCCGUGGUCACCA
rnacentral:tRNA from 1 species